GCGGGCGUAGCUCAACUGGAUAGAGCAUCAGACUUCGGAUCUGAGGGUUGAGGGUUCGAAUCCUUCCGCCCGCGCCA
rnacentral:tRNA from 1 species